UGCAUCAGCCGGGAAUCGAACCCGGGCUGCCCGCGUGGCAGGCGAGCAUUCUACCACUGAACCACCGAUGG
rnacentral:tRNA from 1 species